UUUUAUGAUUCCAGGUUCUGAAAGAGUGUCAGCUACUGGCAAAUCCAUACAGCUGACAAGAUGCAGGUCAACCUUCUGUCUCAGGACAUCUGAUACCCCCUCUCCUGGAAACAGAAGACCCAGUCCACUUGACCAGCCUUCUUCAAAUAGCACCACCCUCAACCGCACCCAAGCAAGACAGGCUGGCUCUCCAAACCCAGCCAGGGGACAGCCAUCCUAGUGUUCAGGAGUCAGAAGCCCAGGAGGAAAUAGCCCCGGGAGAUAUUAAAUACCACCUGGAGCCCCUUCCCAAGGCUCCACUCCAGACGCAACCCCCAAGCUACUCCAACCAGCACAGCAAGCCUCAGUGGCUCCCCUUCAGUACAACCUAUGGAGAAUGUUAUAAGCCCGGGAGGAUACAGCCUGUGACUUACCAUGGGGAGAACCCCUCCCAUUCAGGUGAUGACUAUAUGACCACUACUCAUCAGAUUUCCUUGCAGAGCCCUCUUCUUGGUCAGUCCACGUUCCCAGUUCAUAUCCAGGGCAGAAAAAUAGGACCAAUAGUGCGUCCAGGCCAUAUGGAGUACACCAGCCAAUACCAGAGUGACUUCCAAGCCUCAGGGUGGAAUCAAGUCCUCAAAACUGACCCAGACAAAAGAAGCCAGGGGAUCAAUGGUAGAGGAAAGGAUAACCUUCACUGGGAAGUGAACAGGGAUGUGAGCCUAGCAACAAAUACACCCAGACUGUGCAGAAAGACAAUGCCUCUGGCUGGCAGCCCACUAUGCAUCAGCAUCCGAAGCCGAGAUGGGUGAAGCAGGAGAUGACCAUCCUGGGUAGGAAGAGCACUGUCAAGUUUGACGGAGGCACAGUGACCAGGGUAAAGUGCCCAAGCUCUCUGUCUAGAGGUAAUCAGCAUGAGGGUCCUAACUACUCCCUCAACCCAAGGAGGGGAAUGGGGGUAGACAGGGAACAAAGGAAAACAUUUACCCGACCAGGACACCCCAACCCCACUUGUCUUGAGAAAUCCAGAAAUUUUACUUUCCUGAAUCUGCAGCCACUUAUGGACUCUGAUAUUUGCCCCUGACCAAAGAGGUGAGGUACGUACGCACUUAACAUAUGCUGGCCACGUGGUAAGUACUUAACAAAAGAUAGCAAUUAAAAUCAUCAUUAUUAUUAUUUCCCCAGACAUGCAUUCCUCUCUUCCCAGAUGUCUUAUCUACCUCCUCCCAAAUCCCUGGUAAAAAGAGUCAAGGGUAAGUGCCCCUCUAGCACACUCAGGGUCUUCAAAGCCAAGUUACAAACUGAAACUACCAGCAAGCAAUUCUUCCAGGACUGUAGAACUCAGCCCCAGGUAUGCUACGGAGACCUUCAUCACAGAGGCUAUGAGAAGCCCCUGAGUGUGGGUUCGCAGGCACCACCUCAGGAUCAAACUACCACCAGGACCUCCUACAUGCCCUUGUUUUCUGAAAGACUGAACCUCUGUAAGCCCAAGGUCAACAGCAGCAAAUGGGAGCCAAACAAAAUUUCUCUACUGAGCAAAGGAAAACAUUCAGACCAGUCCAGCUGCCUGAAAGCCGGCUCCAGAAGUACUUUUGACAAGAGGACUCAAAAUCCCCAAAAAAUAAUAAUAAUCGGGAGAAAGAAACCGCCCAAAUAACCUAUGCAAAAAUGCACAGUUGGGCACCCAUAUCGAACCUUAAAACUGAGGUCCCACCGUAACUACCUCAUAGAACAGACUCAGUUUUCCCGCUGGGAUUUCCCAGUCACACCCUGACCCUAAUACAACUCUUUGAAACUAACUGAGCAAGGGUGAGUAACCUUUUUAGAAAGAAAGGAUGCACUGUGAGUCUUAGAAGGUCAGUGUGUUCCAGGACUCCUGAGGGAAAAAGAGGUCAGACUAUUUCCCCCUAACGAAUGAAUGGCAAAGCAUCAAAACUUUUCUUGUCAGUGCCAUCAAUUAAUGACAUUCUAUUUGAGCUACAGCGUCUGCUCACUGCUGCUUUUUUUCCCUUUACAUUCUCUGAGAUUAUAAUUCACAUACCAUAAAAUUUACCCUUUUAAAGUGUAUAAUCCAGUGGGUUUGAGUAUUGCUCACUGCCGCUUAAGUCUAAACUUCAGAGUGGAGAAAGUGGCACAGGAAAGGAAGGAGAACAUGAGGGUCUGGAUUGAUUAAAACAAACAAACAAAAUCUUCCACGUAGAGAAAGUAUCCAAAGCCUAAAGGAGAAUCUCAUCAAAGUCUAAACACCAGGUCUCUCUCUUAAAAAUACUUACCAUUUUG